AAAGUACUCCCUCUGUUCGGAAUUACUUGUCGUAGAAAUGGAUGUAUCUAGACAUUUUUUAGUUCUAGAUACAUCCAUUUCUACGACAAGUAAUUCGGAACGGAGGGGGUAGUCC
rfam:Triticum aestivum genome assembly, contig: Triticum_aestivum_CS42_TGACv1_scaffold_592497_7BS